rnacentral:rRNA from 1 species
GUGCCAGCCGCCGCGGUAAUACCGGCAGCCCGAGUGAUGGCCGAUCUUAUUGGGCCUAAAGCGUCCGUAGCUGGCUGCGCAAGUCCAUCGGGAAAUCCACCUGCUCAACAGGUGGGCGCCCGGUGGAAACUGUGCGGCUUGGGACCGGAAGGCGCGACGGGUACGUCCGGGGUAGGAGUGAAAUCCCAUAAUCCCGCACGGACCACCGAUGGCGAAAGCACUUCGAGAAAACGGAUCCGACAGUGAGGGACGAAAGCUAAGAUCGCGAACCGGAUUAGAUACCCGAGUAGUCC